UUAAAAUUUAUUUUAAUUGUUCAUAUAAAUUGUUAGUCAAAUUGCAACAAAAUACAGCAGAUUGUUCUUGAAAAUAUAAUUUAAAAUUCAACUCUAAUUCACCAAAACCCUUCCGACAUUCAAAAUUGCAGAUUCUUUCAGAUGUAAUUUCCCAAAACCCUAAUUCUAUUAUUCUGUACCCAAUUUAUGAUAAUCUAAUUUUGAUCUUCUGAUACACUGAAAAUGUCAGUUCACAAAAGAAUCCGAGAAAGUUUCGCUACGUCUCGCCGAUUCAGUAAAACUACACUGUUGCAUACAUGUUCUUCUUUCUCAUCAUGGUCAUCGAAAAGCAGUAGUUCCGCGCCGCCCCCUUUGGCCCCCCAAAUGCGUGGGCGGUACGUGGAUACAGAUAAUCCCGAGGGUAAAAAUCAUGAGUUUGGUGGGAUUGGAGAAAUUGGUUCUGAAAAAUCUAGGAUAUUUAGUCCAGAUUAUAGUUCAUGCAAUUGGGGUGGAGAAAAAUGCAAUCGUGGUAUUUCCAAUGAGUUUGGCGAGUCGGAAGAAGGAGAAGAGGAAAACAGUGAUGAAGAUAAUGACGAUGAAUUUAGGGUUUUGAAUUCAUUCGACAGAAACAGAGAGAGAAGUGAUGUUUCUAGAAGAAUCGAGGUGGACGAAGACGAAGUAAGACACCCUUUAGUUAGAGAGGUUUGCAGGCUGAUUGGUCUCAGAGCGUCAUGGACACCGAAUCUCGAAUCGGAGUUCAAGAACUUGCUGCGCAGUUUGAAGCCUUCUCAAGUUUGUGCAGUAAUUCGAGCUCAAUCCGAUGAAAGAAUUGCUUUAGAAUUCUUUUAUUGGGCUGACAGGCAGUGGCGGUACAGGCACGAUCCAAUGGUUUAUCAUGCAAUGCUUAAUGUUCUUGGUAAGACCAAGUUAUGUCAAGGAGCUAAGCGUAUUCUUCGGCUUAUGGCACGGAGAAAGAUCGAGAUUUGGCCCGAAGAUUUUGGCUGUGUAAUGGUUUCUUUCAGUAGAGCUGGACAUUUUAGGAAAGCAAUGCAGGUGUUGAAUCUCAUGCAGAAAGCAGGAAUCGAGCUUGAUGUUUCGAUAUGCAACACCGCAGUUAAUGUUUUGGUUGAAUGGGAAAAGUUGGAGAAAGCAUUGAGGUUUGUGCAGAGAAUGCAGGUUGUAGGGAUUGAACCUAAUGUCGUCACGUAUAAUUGUUUGAUUAAGGGCUACUGCGAAAAGAAUCUUGUUGAAGAUGCCAUGAAGUUGAUCGUAGAAAUGCCCCUGAGAGGCUGUUCUCCGGAUAAAGUCAGCUACUAUACUGUCAUGGGUUUUUUGUGCAAGGAGAGAAGGAUUGACGAACUGAGAGGGCUUCUGGAUAAGAUGUUGAAAGAGAGUAAUUUGGUGCCCGAUCAAGUUACGUACAACACUCUUAUCCACAUGCUAUCAAAGUACGGCCAUGCAGAAGAGGCGCUAGGGUUUAUACGAGAAGCAGAGGAAAGAGGUUUCCAUGUCGACAAAGUUGGGCAUACUGCUGUAGUGAAUUGCUUUUGUCAAGAAGGAAGAAUCGAUAGGGCUAAAGAUCUUGUCGAUGAAAUGUUAUUGAAGGGGUGCACCCCUGAUGUUGUGACGUACACUGCUGUUUUGCAUGGAUUUUGUAGAAUAGGAGAAAUCGAACGAGCUAAAAAACUGCUGCAGCAGAUGUACAAGCACGGUUGUAAACCAAACUGUGUUUCUUACACAGCCUUGUUGAAUGGGCUUUGUCUGAACGGGAAAUCUUCAGAAGCAAGAGAGAUGAUGAACAUGAGUGAGGGAAUGUGGGCCCCGAAUGCUGUGACGUAUAGUGUAGUAAUGCAUGGGUUUCGUAGAGAAGGGAAGUUGUCAGAGGCCUGUGAUGUAAUGAGGGAAAUGAUCGGAAAAGGGUUUUAUCCUUCUCCAGUCGAAAUCAACAUCUUGAUUCAGUCUCUUUGUAAAGCGGGCAGAGCAGAUCAAUCGAAGAAAUUACUCGAGGAGUGCAUGAAAAAGGGGUGUGCUGUAAAUGUGGUGAAUUUCACUACAGUAAUUCAUGGAUUCUGUAAAAACGACGACUUGGAAGCUGCGCUGUCUGUUCUUGACGACAUGUAUCUGAACAACAAACACCCCGAUGAAGUGACGUAUACAGCUGUCAUUGACGCACUGGGAAGAAAAGGUAGAAUAAACGAGGCUAAUGAAAUGACCAAGAAACUGCUCCACUGUGGAUUGCUUCCGACGCAAGUCACUUAUCGGUCAGUCAUCCAUCAUUUCUGUCAGCAUGGGAAAGUGGAUGAUUUGUUGAAACUGAUUGAGAAGAUGCUUCGAAGGGAAAGCUGCAAAACGGCGUAUAACCAAGUUAUUGAGAAGCUUUGCUGUUUUGGAAAUGUCGAUGAAGCUUAUGAGUUAUUGGGGAAGGUUCUGAGAACUGCUUCUAGAAGUGAUGCGAAUACUUGCCAUAUUCUCAUGAGAAGUUUUUUGAAGAAUGAGAAUCCGAUUGGAUCGUAUAGAGUGGCUUGUAGGAUGUUUAACCGUAAUUUGGUUCCUGAUUUAAAGCUGUGUGAGGAAGUUAGUAAGAAAUUGAUUUUGCAGCAGAAAUUUGAUGAGGCGGAUAAGCUUAUACUGCGGUUUGUGGAACGAGGUCAUAUCCCACCCGAGGGCAAAAAGCCUGCGUUUGUGUGACAAAUAACAAUAUAAGCACUUCAAACGAAACCGAUUCCUUAAUCAACUGGAGAAGGCAUCAGGAUGUGUUAUUACCGAACAACGAUGGGAAGGUUAAAAAAAUAUGGAACGAGGUGCAGAACAUGAGCUCGAAGGUAAGUUGAUUCUGAAUACACGAUACAACAUCACACAACCUUACAAUGUAUUAAACUCCAAUUUUUUUAUCACAUAUUAAAAACUGUAAAUACAAUAAUGAUUCUUGUUAAAAAUGACAUGUUUAUUUUAUGAUAUAAAAGUGGGCUGUGGGCGGGCUAUCGUUGUCAAUUUGUUGGAUUCGUUAAGAAACAUUAGGUUGAUUGUAGGCUGUCUAAGUCGAUGUUCCAUAUCAAGGAAACUAAAUGCAUGAAUUGUGCAAACUUUUCCUUUCCCUAAUCUCUUAAAACACGGUACUAUGUAUUCUAAUGCGACGAACAUAAACUUGUCGGUUAAUCGGUUGUUGUAUGUUGUAGCAUCAUAUCUUGUGACAUACGAGUGUGUUUUCCUUUUGUUUAGGGAGGUUAAGUAUUACUUCAGAAAACAAUUUUACAUGCAUAUUUUUUUUUUCUUUUUUAAUAGGAAUUAUGCAUUAUUAUUAAUGUUAAUGGUAAGUUACAUUAUCACAAGACAGCAUAAGCUAGGCCCUGUAUACAUUAGAUGUCUGGGACUGGUCCAAUAUUUUUUUUUUUCUGGAUUAUUAUUAUUGAAUAUAUUAAGUAAAGACUUGUAUUGAAUUGCAUUGUAGUAAUGUACAUUGUCUUCAUAGCAUAAAACAAAUAAACUCCCACCCCACAACCACCACCACCACCCACCCAACCACCACCGCAGGGCUCCACCCAAGAAUCAGGCCAUUGAGAUAGGAAAUAAAUCAUUAGGGUCCAACUGGAGAAAAGGGGAAUAGAGAUUUCAUUGAAUAAUAUAUUUGCUUUUUAGAAAUUAAUGAUUAUCAUUGUUUCUCAAGCAAAGUUAAAUUAUAAUUUAUAACUAAAUAAAUAAAUAAAAAGGAAAAGUAGAG